GAUGAAGAACGUAGUGAAAUGCGAUAAGUAAUGUGAAUUGCAGAAUUCAGUGAAUCAUCGAAUCUUUGAACGCACAUUGCGCCCGCCAGUAUUCUGGCGGGCAUGCCUGUUCGAGCGUCAUUUCAACCAUCAAGCCCUGCUUGCGUUGGAGUCCUGCGGCUGCCCGCAGGCCCUGAAAACCAGUGGCGGGCUCGCUAGUCACACCGAGCGCAGUAAUACAUCUCGCUUUGGGCGUGCGGCGGGUUCUUGCCGUUAAACACCCCCUUUUUACCAAGGUUGACCUCGGAUCAGGUAGGAAUACCCGCUGAACUUAAGCAUAUCAAUAAGCGGAGGA
rnacentral:misc_RNA from 1 species